GGCCGCCUCUCGAGCCCAGUGUGUGCGAGUGUGACUGAGAGUUGAGUUGUUAAAGCAGGCACACUGCUGCUCGACUUCACCCUUCUCCGCUUGACAGGAUUUCCCUUUCAGAAGUCCUGGUGGUGCCGGGAGACUCCAACGUAUGAAAGCCGGAGCUCAAAACCUACUAAUUAAUUGGCAACGACCCUCCCAACCCUUUCCCUUGAGGAGCACUUUUAAACCCCAGUUUCAUCAAAACACUUCAACCGCUUCAACCCUUCCUCAGGAGAACGCUCAUGUGCUUACAAGGUGACCAGAUGUUCUGGGGAACACAGACUUGCAACACAAGGAAAGUAGCACGAUGACAGGCCGGCUGCCCUCGAGGCUUGUGCUGUGGUUCAUAGGGUUGUUGGGUGUCGCGUUAUUGACAUUAUUCCUGGUUUGCGUGACUAUGCAGAAUCAGGUGCCAUGGCAAGUGAUGAGUCUGCAAAACUUCAGGUUUUUUUCUGACAGGAAUAACAGCAUUUCUUUGAAAAAUCAACCAUCUUCUGAGAAUGAACUGGACACUCAACUGGGGCAAAAUUCAUUGCAGAAAUCAGAUGUUCAGAAUUCAUUGCAGAAAUCAGAUGUUCAGAAUUCAUUGCAGAAAUCAGAUGUUCAGAAUUCAUUGCAGAAACCAGAUGUUCAGAAUUCAUUUCAGAAACCAGAUGUUAUGAAAUCAUUGCAGAAAUCAGAUGUUCAGAAUUCAUUGCAGAAAUCAGAUGUUCAGAAUUCAUUGCAGAAAUCAGAUGUUCAGAAUUCAUUGCAGAAACCAGAUGUUCAGAAUUCAUUUCAGAAACCAGAUGUUAUGAAAUCAUUGCAGAAAUCAGAUGUUCAGAAUUCAUUGCAGAAAUCAGAUUUUCAGAAUUCAUUGCAGAAAUCAGAUUUUCAGAAUUCAUUGCAGAAAUCAGUGUCAGGAAAUGAUGCAAAGUCUGAUCAAGCAAAUUCAAUCACAAUCUCCUUAAAACCAGUGCCAAAACCCACUGAGACUGACUUUUUUGGUGACCAGUAUGCCACAGAUGACUUUCCUUCACAAACCAACUGUCCCAACAAUAUUAGAAAGCGUGUGCCUCAGACUCAAUUUGCUGAGAUGUUUCUGCACAAUAUUCCAGUGCUCCAAUGGGCAAAGCAUUUUAGUCCAGAAGAGUACCAGCGGUUGAGUCACUUUAGUGGAGCACACGGCUGGGGAAGUGUCAAAGCUGAAGUUUUGAAUAGCUCACUGGCAAUUUUAAAUAGAACUGCAAAUCGGAUGAUGUUUGAUGACUGGGAGAAUAGAGCAGAACGAUCCGAUUGCAUUCGCUGCGCUGUGGUGGGAAAUGGGGGAAUACUGAAUGGUUCAAGGAAAGGCAAGGAGAUCGAUGACCAUCACUACGUCUUUAGGGUAAAUGGUGCGGCUCUUAAAGGGUUUGAGGAUGAUGUGGGAUCCCGGACUUCCUUCUACACAUUCUCAACCAACACCAUGCGAAACUCCAUAAAUAGCUAUGCUCACAUAGGCUACAGAGGGCCACCUAUAUCCAAGGAAACCAGGUACAUAUUCCUGCCAGACCAUGACCGAGAUUAUAUUCUUAUGAAGGCGGCUUCCACACACACAGCAAUUGAUCAAGGCCCUGAGCGCAGCAAAAAGCCCCCUACAUACUUUGGUGAAGAUGUGACUGUUGAAAAAUUCAAAAUCUACCACCCAGACUUUAUCCGCUACCUCCGAAACAGGUUCCUGCAUUCAAACCUUCUGAAAACAAACGCGAGAGGAAUUUACAGGCCGUCGACAGGAGCAGUGAUGCUCCUUGCUGCUAUUCAUACAUGUGACCAGGUUGAUGCUUACGGGUUCAUGACCCCUGACUACAGUAUGUAUUCAGACCACUACUACGACAAACAGCGCCAUGAAGUGCAUUUCUAUGCCAAUCAUGACAUGCGAAUGGAAAUGAGGUUGUGGCAAGAGCUGCAUAAUGCCGGUCUGAUCAAUCUCUUCAUGCGCCGAUAAGCACAUAUGGAUGGACGCUACACACUGUAUAACGUGUUUUUUAUUGUGAGAAGAACUGAAAAACCUCUGGUAGGUGUGUGAAGGACAAGCCUGUUAUUCCCCCAAUGGUAUUAGACAUAUUUGCCUUCUGAAGGAAAAGUUAAUAACUGUUGUUCAACAAAAAACUACGUGCAGAGGCUAUGUAGUCAACACUUUAGAUUGAUUGUCUUUUGAGUCAAUUCACGAGAGACAAAUGGCUGACAUGUGUUUUAGGGAGAGGCCUUGUAAACAUCGAUAUAGUGUUCAGGAAUGACUGAAUAACUCUUGUGUUCUCGGCUGCUGUUUGUUCACACAUAUUGAGUCAUUUCACAUCGAGGCUGGGCAGGACGAAUCAUGGUCUUAAUUUGGGCCACGUACAAAGAUUCUGUAAUAAGUGCCUUAAUACUUCUCACACGCUGGACUGUCAUGGCGUGUGAGAAACAGCGAUUCAGAGAACACUACGUGAAAAAUACUCAACCAAAGAGAAUAAUUUAAAUGAUUUUAUUUUUAAUUCUUAAUCCUAUUUUUAACAUUGCGUGCGAGUAUAAAUGUUUCUAGGUGGUCCGUUCAAAAUGUAUCUGUUGCCAUGUUGCAUCACGUGGAAAUGAAGAAGUUUUUGUUUUUAAGAGACUUUUUAUGCUUGGGCUGUAAUGUUUACAGCUUAACUUUACUUGGAAGCUUUAAAGUGCAAUAGCUUAUGGCUUACAAUCUGUUUGAAUCAAAAUGUGAAUUUCUUUUGUGAUUUGUUUGAUCCUGCUAUGGUGUGUUUGGUCACUUGAUGCUAUCUCAUGAUUGUAUUUAACAAAUUCUUUACCAAAUAAUUGAACUGCUAUGUUCACUCAAAUUAACUGGUGUCGAGGAUCACCACACUCCUGGUUCACGAGUUCAUAAAUCAUUCCAACUUUAAUAAAACAUAUUUUUGGAAACAAAUGCUAGUAACAGAGAUUGAACGAUGGUCCUAAAGCAAGGGUGUAUUUUAAACUCAUAAUAAAUCCUUUGAAAUGGUGUUGUUGAUUUAAAAAUGAUAUGCCUCUGUUUUUUCUCAGAGUGCUGUGAAUAUGGGCCUUAGUUAUAGUGUGGAAAUCAGUUCUAUAUAGUUCGGUUUAAAUAGUAGUUGAACUUAAAAAUAACCUUAAAAGUGUUUAGAGCUAAAUCUAAGAGAUAUAUACAUACUCUAACUCCCAGAAUGCUGGUAUUGUUUUACUUUUCAUUGUCCACAUUAUAUUUAUGUUUCUGUGUACAUAAGGGGUGAACUGACUGAAAUAAUGUCAGUUUGCUUUAUGGAGCUAAAUAUUUGUACCAGCUUAUACUAUCACUUCCUUAAGCAAUAUUUGAUCACAUAAAUACAGUUUGAGGGCGAUGUAGUACAAUGUAUAUCCCUAAACGGCUUGUCGUCAGGCCAUAAAUCUGGCAACUUAAUCUAGAGUUCAAUAUAUUUUACAUUUAAAUUGCAGUGUGUCAAUUUUAGCGGCAUCUAGCGGUAAGUCUAAAAAUCAAAGAUUCAAAAAGGGUGUUUACACAGUGAUGCCAUAGUAAAGAACCAUUUUAUUUCCGAAAGAACAUAUCGAUGAACAGUUCUUAGCAGAACCAUUUUUAUUAGUGUGAAGAACAUUUUCACAUUUUUUUCUCUUUUAUCUACAUCGUCACACUUUGUCACCGGGAGACUUCUAAAAGUGCUUCUUUCCCAGUGUUCAGGAGUCGGUGAGUCAUGUGUUUUAAAUACCAAUAAAAGACGAUGAGACAAUCAUAUUCUAAAGGCGAUUGCAAUGGAUGCUCAUAAACUAGAAGAAUUCUGAUAAAACGUUGCAACAUGUGAUUUGCCGUUCCUGCCCUCUUCUGCCAUCUAGUGUUGAAUGUUCGCAGUUGCAGGCUUAUUCGUCAUAUAAUUAAUGUGUACACACCUCACUUUAGUGCGCUGUCUGUGUAAUUAAUGGUUGGAUUAUAAGACCUGAACACGGAGGCACUGAAUGUGAUUUGUUUACCUCUGAGUUCCAGACGUCCAUCUCUAUCAAUGUCUGCUGACUCCAUAAUGACCUGUGUGUCUUCACCUGACAGAGGCGCCUGGGGUAGGAUACAGACCAUGGACAAAAUAUCAGAGAAAGAUGUUGUUCAGCCAGAGAUGAUGACAGUGCACAAACAGACUGACAAUGUAAAAGUGGGCUGUGAAUGCUUAAAUUACAGUCUUGUGAUGAAUUUCACACUGUUAAAUGACAGCGUGUGGGUGAGGUGUUUCUCUGCAGCUUUCUUUAUCUUUUUACACUCACGGUUCACUUUUUUUCUUUAUUCUGAGACUGAACAUUCUUUUUUUAUAGACUCCUGCACCUCUGAGGAUUUAAACUCUGUCAUGAAAUCUAGAAACAUACUGUACUAUUUUUCUGAUUCACCAUCAUGCCCAGAGCAACUUCAUCUGCGGUCCAAAGCCAUCUGCUGUUAUGUCAGCUUAAAUAUAUUUGGAAGUUUCAGUAUCAAAAUAGAUGCAACAUUUUAGCUCCAGUAACCCUCUCUACAUGCUUGUGUAAGCAUAACGUCUUUAAUAAUAAUGACUGACGCAGAGAUGUUAUCAUGUACUGUAUAAAUGAGUGUUUACACGACGGGUGAAAGAUGUUUUAAUAAUUGUAAUGAUCAUUAACUCUCACCAUUUGAAUAAUGAGGGAAAUGAAGUCUCGAGUCUAUGGCUCCUCUGAGAGGCAGCAUCUUACUUCCCCCAAAGGCACGACUUGCAAUAUGACUUAUGUUAAUGAAGCAAAAGUGUGGCCUUAAAAGACCUGGUUGGAGACCUGACAGAAACAGCAUUGUUGUUCUUGUUUUGCCAUCAAUAACCUGUGAAUUUAUGCAAUUAAAUUGUACGUUCUUUGA